UACGUAGGGGGCAAGCGUUGUUCGGAAUUACUGGGCGUAAAGGGCGCGUAGGCGGCACGGCAAGUCAGGAGUGAAAAGCCCGGGGCUCAACCCCGGAAUGUCUUUUGAAACUGCCGAGCUAGAGUGCGGAAGAGGCAACUGGAAUUCCCAGUGUAGCGGUGAAAUGCGUAGAUAUCAAGAGGAACACCAACGGCGAAGGCAGCUAGCUGGACGAGAUCCGACGCUCAGGCUACGAAAGUAUGGGAGCAAAAGG
rnacentral:rRNA from 1 species